AUCUGUACCUUACAAUCUAUUGUUGCAUUACAGAUGUAUUUUAUACUGCACUGUGUUGCAGAAAUCAUCAGUGAGAUAGAAACAGGUUUUGUGCCAGUUCUACUGGUGUACAUGAAUCAAUGGGAUAGUUAGUGUAACUGAGAGCAGAGAUUAGUGCGUACAUACAGAUAUAUUACUUAGGAUGUUCUUUAUUCUUACCCUUUUAGAAACCUAUAUCACCAGUAACGUGACAAAGGAUAUGUGAGAGAAGAGAAGGGAAAAUAAAGGUUACCCCUUAAAAGCAUGGGAUCUGUCCUCAGGCUCUGUUGAUUUUAGCCUGGCUACAUGAAGAGCAGAAUUUGGCCAUAUGUAUCUACUCGAAUGUGUUUAAAUAGUGGUGAAAACAAUUUGCACCCCCCCCCCCCCAUUGUUAAUGAGAAAGUGAGGUUUCAUUAUGAACACUACACUUAUGGGUCUACAUAGAGGAUGCCUAGAAAGACAGUUCACCAUAUAAUAGCCUUGGGAUGGCUUUUACCUCUGAUGCCAUGGAUGUGAUGAAAGAGUACAAUGAUGAUGAUAAAUCUUUAGAUCAAGAUUUUCCCAAGUUGUAAUGAUGGAAUCUGCUGAACCUAAAGGUGGAGGCAGGUGCAGAGCCAACCCUUAAAUGCACCAUAUGUCCAUACAAAAAACUUCUGGUGGUGCUAAAAUUCACUAUAGAGAAGUACUUUCAAAUUAACACCAUUAAAUUUUAGCAAAAUGCCAAGUUUAAUUUUAAAAUCAAAUGUGAGAGAGUAUACUCAAGAGCAGGGAACUGGACCAAUAGAACUUUGAGGUUUGACUUCUGAUUCUGCAACCGAUAUUCACUUUGUCUGUUCGGGCAAGUCACUUAACCUCCCCCACCUCAGUUUCCCCAUCUGACAAACGGGGAUAACAACACUGACCUAAUGUUCUUCAACAGAGUGCAGUGAGGAUGAAUUAUUUGUUUGCAGAGAGCUCAGAGAUCCUCAGAUGAAAGGUGCUCUAGAAAUGCAAAUGAACUAUUAUUAAUCACUAUAGUAAUUUAUAACAAAACUGAAAUUGCGCCAAGAACAAAAUGUGUUUGGGGAAAAAUAAUGAUCUUCUCAUCUGGGUUUCUGAUGAGCAGAACUAUUCCUGUCUUUAGUAAACCCCAAAGUGUAUGCAAUGCCUCCGUGGGCCUGAAAAGCCUUCUGUUGGAUGUCUAUACCUCUACCCCGAUAUAACGCGACCCAAUAUAACACAAAUUCAGAUAUAAUGCGGUAAAGCAGUGCUCCGGAGGGGGCGGGGCUGCGCACUCUAGCGGAUCAAAGCAAGUUCGAUAUAGCGCAGUUUCACCUAUAGUGCGGUAAGAUUUUUUGGCUCCCGAGGACAGCGGUCUAUCGAGGUAGAGGUGUUUUUUGUUUGGCCUCAGCCAGGAGUUUAUCCUAGAAAAUUUUCAGUUAAAGUAAUUAAUCAUGGAAUCUCUAGAAAUGCACAACUUCAAAUGAAAUCAUAUUGAGGGGAAUAUUAACUGCUCUGACCUUUUCUUCUUGUUUUGUCAAAAGCCGUUUUGAAGGAUCUCUAAUAGGUGACAUUGAUCUAUGGGAGAAACGGAGAGAGAGGAGAUUCUCUGGCCUAUAAAAAAGAGCAAGUUGAGGUUUCCCUACAGUUUCCAAGCUUCACCUCUCAUUGGCCCCUUGCUUAUAGGCUUUCAUUCAUACUGGACUGUCUCAUCAUUAUUGUGUGUGGUCUCUCCACAAGGCAGAACCAUUUAUUCCCAAUUGCAUGCCUGUCGUUGUUAGCACUGUUAUGAUAAGACCCAGCUAAGUUCUUCUUACACCAGAAGGCAUACAGUAAUUUAUAAAGGAUGACAUGUCUCAAGCGUAUUCUGCCUGAGUUAUGGGUAGAGAAUUGAUUUAUAAUUGUGAAGUUGAAGUGACAAAUGGUUAAUAUAUUGCUGCCAGAACAGUAUGGGGAGAGUAUACGUAUCUUAAUUCUUCACCCCUGAAUCUUAGCUCUUAAGAUGCCUCCUUUCUAUUUGGGGCCUGUCGUUCCAUAGGAAUGCUCCUCAGCUGUAAUUCUGAUUGGUUCAGAUCCAAAUGUUAACUCUCUCUCAGCACUGAAUGCUAGCUUAGCUUCGAGGAUAUGCUCUAUCUCUAUUUUGUGUGCCUCUCUAAUGGCUAUACUAGUUGCACAUAUUCCUUAGCUGUAGGUUAUUAACAUUUUAAAAAAUGUGAGGUGUAGACUUCAUAGCUGGUGCUUUAUCUUAAAUUUUCAAAUACCCCUAGCUUACGGUCAAAGAGACUGAGUGAAAAUGUAUUUGGUAGAUUUUACAAAAACAUAAGUGGUCUUUAUCUUAGUAAUAGCAAAAUGAUUGAUGUUUAACUCUGCAAGUACAUAGCAAAGACUGAUUCUUGAGAAAGUGAUGCAUCAUAUCACAGGAAAUAUGGCAACUUUCAAGCCACACUUCAAAAGUUUAUCAAAGCACGACCCUCCUCAUUAUCUGCCCAUCUUUCCUCUGCUCCUCUCAAAAAAGGAAAGAGACAAAACUCAACGCGAGUUACAGCAAAAAACUUAAAUUACCAAUAAAGGGAAAAAACCCUGAAAUUUGUCAAAAAUAAGCUCAGGCUUCUAUAUAGUGGAGAGACAUAACUUUUUCCUUUGACAUUUAUGCAGAUUUUAUGUGACUAUUUUAUGUGCUGCUUAAAAAGAAGAAAAAGACAAUUACCAUAACAACCACAGAAUCAUGUGGCACAUCUUCUGUCUGUGAAAUGCCCAGCACAUUAACUAAACCUGCGCUACCUGAAUAGGAAUGCAAUGCCAUAUUUUUAUUUAAGUUAAAUGUCAGUAAUUUUAGCAAUGUAUUAAUAAUGUAUGUUUUUUCCCUGCAAUAAUCCAUUUCCCCUAAUUAUAAGGAUGUAUUUCAAACCCUUUAUUUGAUUUUACAUUAGUACACAGAACGCACACGCUAUACACAAAUGCUGCACAUACCUAUGCAUGCUUCACACAUACCACACAUACGACAUGAACAUUGCACUUACAUGUACACACCACACAGUGCCUAUAUGUGCAUAUUGCCGAGAUCAUAAUGCGCACACACACUGAAUAUGCACCACAUAUGUAUUGCUCCCACACAUACAUACCACAUACACAUUCACAACUAUUUCUUUCCUUGUUUUGUGAACAGGGGGAAAUGAAUCUUGGUGGUGAUCUAAGGGAAUGGUGCAUGCUGAAAGCAGCUGGAGUGAAUGCCUGAUGUGUCAAUGCCUCUCAUGACACCAUUUUUGUUCCUGCCUUGGGAACUCAGCAAACGGUGUUUAUUGUUACUUGUCUAAUGUGGACAUGGGAUGAGAGCAUGUUUUCACAGCUGGAAUAUACCUACAUUCUAAUGGGGGGACAUAUAGCUUUGAAAUAUUUGCGCUACUCUGGUCAGCUAAAACAAUAAAGGUUUUGUAGGGUGCUCAACACAAACUCAGAUCCGAUAAGAAACAGAAUUUCAGGUGUUGUGAAUGUACUCUCCUCCUCUUUGCCAUGUCUAGAAGCCACUCCUCCAUCAUUGUAUUCCUCCACUUUUCUGCUGCUUUUGACAAUAUAGACCAUCCACUUGGUCUCUUCCUGGGGCUUCUCUGAUUUGUAUAUUUCCUGGCUCUUCUCUUACCUUCCCAGGUGCUCUUUCCCAGUUGCUUUUGAUGGAUUCUCCUCUUUCUCCAUCCCCCUCUCCCAGUUGGGGUUCCAUCUGCUGUCUGCCCUGGGCCCAUGUCUUUUUUCCCUGUUCACUUGUGCUCCUGAUGACUUCCCUCUUUCUCUCUCAUGGGUCUCUAGUCUCGCCUCCCUAUUAAGGAGUGUAGAAUCUGUUAUUAUUUAUGUGCGGACAGUGUGCGUCUCAUUCAGUCUCUUACUCCCUGCCACAUCUUUCUGUCUUCCCUGUAUCACUUCUUGGAUUCCCCACUGCUUCCACAGAUGAAACAUAUCAAAAACAUAUCCUCACCACUUUCUGCAUGAUGUUUUCCCAGCCUGGCGAAUGGGCUAUUUUUUGCUCCUCUCUGUACAGCUAGACUGACUGACUCCCCUAUCUGGAGCAGGCUGCCCUAAACACACCAGUCAUCCUUCUACAUUCAGUUCAGCAGGAUAUGAUGUGUUUUUUCCUGCACCAAUGGUGGUGUGCCCUCCCAGGGGAGGGAGGGAGGGAGGAAGAGCCUGAUUUGUGGCAUUGGAUUCCCCAAUCUGAGGUGAAGUUGUUCAACUUCUCCUGUCACUAGCCUCUGAAAAAUUUAUUUUAUGGGAAAGCAGAACAGUAUUGCCCUCUAUAUUCUCAUGUAAGUGCAAAUAAUUAUGUGUGUGGAUACACACAGUAGUAAUGAGCCAAGGAGUCCUUCCCAGGCAGCUCCACCUCUGAACAGACAAGGAUGGGCUGCCUGGGCAUAUGGAAGUUUCCUUGAAGUUUCUGCCAUUUACUAAAGUCUAUAUGCCCCUCUGCUUGUAGAGAGUUUGUGAACUGUGCAGGAGUGUUUGUCCGGCUGCUCUCUGGCUCUACAGGAUAUAUAUACCCUGCAGGCCUCAAGAGCCAUGGAUACUGGAACACACCAGAUCUGGGAAGCCUGCAGAGCUUUUUAACUGCAGGGCCAGAAGGAUCCUUGGCCCUGGAAAAAUUCCCUUCAGUUCUGUGGAACUUUCAGGAGUGCAGGAUUAGCCUGGACUGUCUUGUCAUGUGGGGCCACCUCUCUCCACAAUGGAAAUUCAUCCACCACCCUGUCCUGGCGAGUAGGGGAUGCUGCCACGUCUCUGCUUGGGUCACUAGGCAGGAGGAGAUUAGAAGCAAUGGGCUCACAAUCUGCACUGUCCUGCUGUUGCUAAUCCUCUUCCUCUGGGCUGGGGGCUUCCUCUUCCCUAACCCUACACUAAUUCUUGUUUUGAGGCAGGCUGGGACCUCCUGUUAUUCUUUGGGUACACCAGGGAAAAGGGGUUUCCUAGUCCAUCACCUUGCUGCCACUGCUGCCUCCAUGUUGGAUGGACCAGGAAGAAAGGGACCACCGCUAGACUCUGAUUUUCUUCCUCCCUCUCCUGCUGCCGCUCUUUAGGUUGCCUUACCACAGCCACCAACCAAGCAGUUAGGCCCCUGUGGGAGCCUCAUCACCAGCCCCUGUGGGGCUGCCGUGGUUCCUUUCCUGAGCAGACUCGUACCCAAGCAGCACAUGUAGGUGGUGUCAUUAGGAAUGGAGCUGUGGAGGUCAGGAACUCACAUUUUUUUUUACCUGCCUAGGGUCUCAGUUUGCCUUAGUUCAGCCCUGCUAACAUGAGUCAUGCCCAGGAUUCUUGUAGAGUUUAUAAAUUGUCAGAGGCCUUGUGGGCUUUGUAUGGUAACUAACUACCACUGUGAACUCUUAAAAUCCAGUUUGGCUAUGAACUUCAUAAACUCCAUCCAGUGUGGGCUGUGGAAUUCUUUUCAACUCAGAAAAAUUGUAGUGAAUAAUACCAACCUCUGGAGAACAGUUAGAGGCAUCUGUCCUCAUUGAGAAUGUCAUAAUUUAAGCCAAAUCUGAAGCCAAAACUUGUAAAGAUUAAAAUGCUACUAAAAAUAAAAAUAAUUCAGAAGACUUUGCGGAAGUGAUUGCUUCUUAUUUUACAAGUCGCCAUAUCUGGAUUUCUUCUCUGUUUGUCUAUCAAUGAACAGAAAAAUUCUCCUGUGGCAAGGGAGCAAACGUAAGUAAUUCCACACAAAUUGGUUUAAUAUUGGCAAAGUCAGUAGAGAAAAGGUUUGUUGAAAAAUUGGUCACAGCCUUAAUAAUGGAGAGAUUACUGUCACUUCAUAGUUCUGUCUAUUGUUGUCUGUAGGUGAGAAGGAAAGUUCAGUCUGUCUUCAUUCCUUUGGUACAAGAAGUAAGAAUUUCUCAACUCUAAUCCCUAAAAUUAUCAUUCUUAUUUUGGGUGUUGUAAAAACCCAUGCAGUGACACGAAGGCGGCAUUUUUGUGUGCAAAAUAAUAGGUGCAAACUGACAAUUAUGUGGACAUGCCACUGCUGGAUUUUAGUGAGAGCACCUGCUGUGGCUUCUGUUUCUGGGAAGUCGAACUAUCAAACCAGUUAAAAAAAGUGAAAAUAUUUUUGAAAUAAAGUCAAGACUGCCUUUAUAAGUCUGUUUAAAAGACACUGCUUUACAGUAGUGAGAGCUUUGUAAAUUUAGCUUCCUGGAUGUGUUCCUUUUCCUUUUGUGUAACAUGUUUUUUUUGCUAUUUGUUCUUCUUAAAACAAAGGACGCUUUAAUCAUGCAUAAGAACUUUAUUUAUGGCUGCAAGUGGCAUUUAACUGCAGUGUGACAAUUAAAACACUUGGCUUCACUACGGAAUCGAAACAAUAUUAAAGAUGUUAGGGGUGGAUCUUUCUAGACAGUGAUUCAGUUUAAAACAAAAAUAUCACUGUAUCUGUCUCUAUUCAAUGUACGGACAUUCCCCGUGUGUUCUUCAAUGAAUCUUAGCUUGAUAUUUACUUGACAAGGAGUCUGCUUAAGAAAGGGCUUAAUAAUGAUUAUGUAAGGCCAUUAUGUUUUUCUGUUCUGCAUGACGGGAACAAGUGCUACACAGUUCAAAAUGUUUUAACUGACCUGUUCCAUGGUUUAACCAUAAGGUGGUAUGGAAGGAGGCACUUGAAAGAAAUCUGCGAACUGAUUGCUCCAGUCAAGUUCAGGUGCAAUGCAGAAGAGAGACAUCCAAGCUUCUGCUGUGCCAGUGUUUUAAUGCCCCUUCUCUGUCACAUGGUCAACAGCACCGCUGACAAAGGCAUCUCCAUAGCCGUGCCAUGCUGGCAAAAAUUGGAUUCAUAAUGCUCAACUGGUGCAGCUCUCUGGCACCUAUGAUGGAAGCUGUAAUGUAGACAAUGUUCAAGUAUUUUUAGCACCAUGUCAUUCAACCCCACUCUGAGUCCCACCCGUAUGCAUUAUUGAGGCAGAAUGGUGGUGGUGGGGUGAAUGGUACUAGAAUAAAGGGCUCUACACUUGGGCUAUGGCUUAACUUUGCAAAUUAUCUUGCAACUUCAAAUUAAAAAGAACUGAAAUCUGAGAAUUGCCGGUCAGAAAGUUGAAAAUCUGACCGGCAUUGGCUACUGUCAUAUUGGGAUACAACUGUUGUCACUAUGGUUCUCAUAGCGAAGGAGUUAUACCCCUAGAUGUUUUAUAGAAGGAAGCUCAGUGUUCCCAAAUAGCACCAGCAGAGGAGUACACUAGAUAACUUUGAUAGGGUUUCUCCAGCUCUGAGUUCCAUGAUAGAAGGAGCAAAGCAAAUUACACUCUUCACAACAAACAGCAUGCUCUGCUAAGCGAUAGAUGUGUUUGUUUUCUCUACAGUCCAUUGGGUUAAGGUGUAUAGAAAUUCUUGCUCCUUCAGCAGUUCAUUUUAUCUUUUCUUUUAUUAUAAAUUUUUAAAAAACGAUUUAAGAAAACAAAUCAUUGACAAAAAAGCUGCAGGAAACUGUGGGGUCCCUAAAGUGCAACACAUGGUACACCUCUACCCCGAUAUAACAUGAAUUCAGAUAUAACGCGGUAAAGCCGUGCUCCGGGGGGCGGGGCUGCACACUCCGGCGGAUCAAAGCAAGUUCAAUAUAACGUGGUAAGAUUUUUUGGCUCCCAAGGACAGUGUUAUAUUGAGGUAGAAGUGUAUUAUAAGUUCAUGGGGAAUGAAAGUGGAAAAGAUGCUUUGCCCACCUUUACUUAUUGGCAAUAUAAGUGUGUAGUUUGUUAACAUCUGCUAAUAAUCCUGAAAUAUACAUUGGGCUAGUAUCCAUUCUUCUGUAAAGAUUCAGAACAUCUGACCUACCAACACUGUCUUAAACAAGAACAUUUACCCUGGAGGGAAUUUGUGGGCAGCAAAGUGUUAGAAGUGCCAUGAAUUAAUCAGAAUUGUUCAUGUUGCUACCACUCGUAUUUGCCUUUAUGCCUUUUUUGAUCAUUGAUUUAAAAGGAAUUUUGAGAGCAUAUUCUAAUUCAAAGAAAAAUAUAUUUAAUUCUGACCCACACAUCCUCUCAGCCCAAAUUCUUAAUACUUUGAUGUAUGCCCAGACUAUGGACUAAGACAGAAAAUGGGGUGGGGGUGGGGGUCGGCUUAUACAGAGAUAUACCAUAUUAGGGCUUUUACAGGAGGUUUAAAAAGAGAGCGAAAAGCUUCCCUGUAGGUCUCUUAAAUGCCAUUCCCUCUGAUUCUCCUCCCCACUCAUUUGAAACAUUGUUGCCAGGCAAAGAUGAAAGAACCAACCGCAGAUUGGUCAGCAGCCAAGUAUUUGAGGGCUUCUGAGUAAGAGCUUCGGUAGCUAUAGAAAUAAUUAAAACUCGCUCUGUGCUAGGUUGUAUUUGUGUAAAUCUUUUUUUGUUGAGUCUCUUAAACAAAGUAAGCUGGCUGUACAGGAAAUAGAUGCAGUCAAGCCCUGAUAAAGUAGCAUUGUGAAGGCAAAGAAUAUGAAUGUAAGCUGAGCCAGCUAAUCAAUUAUAUUUUUGUGUGUUCUUUAAAAGUAAAACCUGAAAUUUUAUAACCUGUUUUUCACCAUGUGUAACCGGAAUGUAUGUGAUGGGCUGCAUCAGUUUUACUUAGAUCCUUGUACCCAUUUCUUUAUUAACUCAAUAACUGUAUAAAUUAAUCCAUGCCAUCCAGGAAAUCUUUACAUAUAAUGGUUUUGUCUUGAUUAGCAUAAGAGUUCUUUCCAUCUCUUAAGAAAUGCCUGGCACCUACAUACUGAAUGCAUCACUCUGGUACCAUAGAGCUACCCCGGCAGCACUUACUAAUCGAAUGCAGAGCAUUCUAAAUGUUUUAUCUGUGCAUUUUCCCCCCUAUGUCGAGUCUUCCCCAUCCUACAAUGGAAUGUUCUACUUUGCUGAGGGUCAGUCAUGACUUACACAUGUGAGUAAACCUACUGAAAUCUAUGCUGCCUCAACUCAUAAAACAAUACAAGAUGCUAUCAACGGCAGGAAAAGGAAAAGGCCAACAGGGUUCCCAGUGUUCUGAUUGCUGAACAGGACAAAGUAAAGGAGCUUCAGAACCUUGAGGAAGUCUGGGUUCUGAUUGGCAGUGAGCAGGUUGUAACUUCAAACAUGCCGAAAAUAUUAUAACAGAAGAAGAAAAAGUUGGGCCAGCUCUGCAGACAGUCUGUCACAAGCUCAGAAAACUAUCCGCUCUGUGCUGCCUGCUCACUUACUAGCUACCAGCCCUAACCAUCUCCCAGGAAGUGCAGCAAUCUAGGAGAGGCGGUAGGGACCGGCGUGAGAGUGGAAGAACACUUCAGAAUGUAUUGGGUACUAAUUGAAAGUGUAUUGUUCUGUGAUGAUCUGUUCAUUUGAAAAA